AACGAACGCUGGCGGCGUGGUUGAUACAUGCAAGUCGAACGGGAAACAAGUCUUCGGACUUGGAGUACAGUGGCGGACGGGUGAGUAACGUAUGAUCAAUCUGCCCGGAAGACCAGGAUAGCCGUCCGAAAGGACGGGUAAUACUGGAUAAGCCCACGGGAGGGCAUCCUUCUGUGGGAAAAGGAUUGGGAUCUUCGGACCUUUCGCUUUCGGAUGAGAUCAUAACCUAUCAGUUAGUUGGCGGGGUAACGGCCCACCAAGACGACGACGGGUAGCCGGCCUGAGAGGGUGGACGGCCACACUGGAACUGAGACACGGUCCAGACUCCUACGGGAGGCAGCAGUGCUGAAUUAUUCGCCAAUGCGCGAAAGCGUGACGGUGCGACGCCGCGUGCGGGACGAAGGCCUUCGGGUUGUAAACCGCUGUCAGGGAUUAGAAAACCAGUGCAGUUAACAGCUGUAUUGUUGAUCAGUCCCAAAGGAAGCACAGGCUAAUCUCGUGCCAGCAGCCGCAGUAAAAC
rnacentral:rRNA from 1 species